rnacentral:rRNA from 1 species
AGUCACUGACUAUUAGACUACCCUGUACGUCCCAGCCGUAAACAAUGUGCGUUAGGUGUGUCGGUAACCACGCGUUACUGAUGCGCCGAAGAGAAAUCGUGAAACGCACCACCUGGGAAGUACGGUCGCAAGGCUGAAACUUAAAGGAAUUGGCGGGGAGCACCACAACAGGUGGAGCCUGCGGUUUAAUUGGAUUCAACGCCGGACAUCUCACCGGAUAAGACAGCUGAAUGAUUGUCAAUCUGAAGGUUUUACAUGACUAGCUG